CCUGAAACCUUGUGCUUACAAGCAGUCGGAGCAGACUUGUUCUGUGACGGCGUACCUUUUGUAUAAUGGGUCAACGACUUAAUUUCAGUAGCAAGCUUAACCGUUUAGGGGAGGCGCAGGGAAACCGAGUCUUAAUAGGGCGCUCAGUUGCUGGAAUUAGACCCGAAACCGGGUGAUCUAUCCAUGGCCAGGGUGAAGGUUAGGUAACACUGACUGGAGGCCCGAACCCACUUAUGUUGAAAAAUGAGGGGAUGAGCUGUGGAUAGGAGUGAAAGGCUAAUCAAGCCCGGAGAUAGCUGGUUCUCUUCGAAAACUAUUUAGGUAGUGCCUCAUGUAUUACCAUUGGGGGUAGAGCACUGUUUCGGCUAGGGGGUCAUCCCGACUUACCAAACCGAUGCAAACUCCGAAUACCAAUGAGUACGAGCAUGGGAGACAGACUGCGGGUGCUAACGUCCGUAGUCGAGAGGGAAACAACCCAGACCGUCAGCUAAGGUCCCAAAUUAUGAUUAAGUGGGAAACAAUGUGGGAAGGCACAAACAGCUAGGAGGUUGGCUUAGAAGCAGCCAUCCUUUAAAGAAAGCGUAAUAGCUCACUAGUCGAGUCGGCCUGCGUGGAAGAUAUAACGGGGCUAAAUCAUAAACCGAAGCUACGGAUCUUAAAUUUAUUUAAGAUGGUAGAAGAGCGUUCUGUAAGCGGUUGAAGGUAAGCUGUAAGGCGAACUGGACGUAUCAGAAGUGCGAAUGUUGACAUGAGUAACGAUCAAAGAGGUGAAAAACCUCUUCGCCGAAAAUCCAAGGUUUCCUGUCCAACGCUAAUCGUGGCAGGGUGAGUCGGCUCCUAAGGCGAGGGCGAAAGCCGUAGUCGAUGGAAAACAGGUUAAUAUUCCUGUACUUCUUAUAAUUGCGAUGGGGUGACGGAGAAGGUUAGGCUAGCACGGCGACGGUUGUCCGUGUUCAAGGUUGUAGACUGAGAUUCUAGGUAAAUCCGGAGUCUCUUAAGGUCAAGAACUGAUAACGACCACUCUUUUGAGUGGGAAGUAGUCGAUACCAUGCUUCCAGGAAAAACCUCUAAGCGUCAGAUUAUAAGAAACCGUACCCCAAACCGACACAGGUGGAUAAGUCGAGAAGACUAAGGUGUUUGAGAGAACUAUGGUGAAGGAACUAGGCAAAAUGGUACCGUAACUUCGGGAGAAGGUACGCCACCAUUGGUGAUGAGACUUGCUCUUUAAGCUGAUGGUGGUCGAAGAUACUAGGUGGCUGCGACUGUUUAUUAAAAACAUAGCACUCUGCAAAAUCGUAAGAUGACGUAUAGGGUGUGACGCCUGCCCGGUGCCGGAAGGUUAAUUGAUGGGGUUAGCUUCGGCGAAGCUCCUGAUCGAAGCCCCGGUAAACGGCGGCCGUAACUAUAACGGUCCUAAGGUAGCGAAAUUCCUUGUCGGGUAAGUUCCGACCUGCACGAAUGGCGUAACGAUGGCCACGCUGUCUCCACCAUAGACUCAGUGAAAUUGAAAUCGCUGUUAAGAUGCAGUGUACCCGCAGCUAGACGGAAAGACCCCGUGCACCUUUACUAUAGGUUCACACUGGACUUUGAUCUUAUUUGUGUAGGAUAGGUGGGAGACUUUGAAGCUGGAACGCUAGUUCUAGUGGAGUCGUCCUUGAAAUACCACCCUUGUAAAAUUGAGGUUCUAACCUAGGUCCAUUAUCUGGAUCGGGGACAGUGUGUGCUGGGUAGUUUGACUGG
rnacentral:rRNA from 1 species